CCUACGGGCGGCAGCAGUAGGGAAUCUUCCACAAUGGGCGAAAGCCUGAUGGAGCAACGCCGCGUGGGUGAAGAAGGUCUUCGGAUCGUAAAACCCUGUUGUUAGAGAAGAAAGUGCGUGAGAGUAACUGUUCACGUUUCGACGGUAUCUAACCAGAAAGCCACGGCUAACUACGUGCCAGCAGCCGCGGUAAUACGUAGGUGGCAAGCGUUAUCCGGAUUUAUUGGGCGUAAAGGGAACGCAGGCGGUCUUUUAAGUCUGAUGUGAAAGCCUUCGGCUUAACCGGAGUAGUGCAUUGGAAACUGGGAGACUUGAGUGCAGAAGAGGAGAGUGGAACUCCAUGUGUAGCGGUGAAAUGCGUAGAUAUAUGGAAGAACACCAGUGGCGAAGGCAGCUUACCAAACUAUAUCUGACGUUGAGGCACGAAAGCGUGGGUAGCAAACAGGAUUAGAUACCCUAGUAGUC
rnacentral:rRNA from 1 species